ensembl:lncRNA
CUCGCGCAGGGUCCGGGCGCGUCACCGAGCAAUUAGAGGGAAACACACACACACACACACACACACCCGCACACACAUACACACACACACACAGAGCAGAGUUAGAUCCCAAAGCCACACAUUUCUCUUCAUCACUGAAAGGAUUUCGGAAGUGUGGAAAAAACCAGCACAGAUGACAUGAGAUCCACAUAAAAACCUCUUCCUCUUCAUCAUUUAAGCCUCUGACAUACCUUAAGGCAGGAAUCCCAAAUGCACUACAUGUGCUCACUACAUAAGGAUUGAUCCUGGUCAGAGUUGCAGUGGAUCUGGAGUCUACCCAAACUGGGCAUGAAGGAAGGAAUACACCCUGACUGGGAUGCCAGAACAUCACUCGCCACCAUUCACACACUCAUUCACACAUGGGGGCAUUUUAAGUUUUAGGUCGCCAGUGUUUUUUCAAAAGUCGAAGGAAACCAGAGAACCCAGAAGAAAUCCACAUGGGUCUGGGGAGAACAUGUACAGUUGGGUCCAUAAGUAUUUGGACAGGGACACAGUUUUUGUCAUUUUGCGUCUGCGCACCACCACAAUGAAUUUGUAAAGCCUGCCUGCCC